rnacentral:rRNA from 1 species
AUUGAACGCUGGCGGCAUGCCUUACACAUGCAAGUCGAACGGCAGCACGGGUGCUUGCACCUGGUGGCGAGUGGCGAACGGGUGAGUAAUACAUCGGAACGUACCUUAUCGUGGGGGAUAACGCAGCGAAAGCUGUGCUAAUACCGCAUACGCCCUGAGGGGGAAAGCGGGGGAUCGAAAGACCUCGCGCGAUUAGAGCGGCCGAUGCCUGAUUAGCUUGUUGGUGGGGUAAAAGCCCACCAAGGCGACGAUCAGUAGCUGGUCUGAGAGGACGAUCAGCCACACUGGGACUGAGACACGGCCCAGACUCCUGCGGGAGGCAGCAGUGGGGAAUUUUGGACAAUGGGGGCAACCCUGAUCCAGCAAUGCCGCGUGAGUGAAGAAGGCCUUCGGGUUGUAAAGCUCUUUUGUCAGGGAAGAAACACCGGCUCUAACACAGUCCGGGAAUGACGGUACUUGAAGAAUAAGCACCGGCUAACUACGUGCCAGCCGCCGCGGUAA